AUACGAAGGGGGCUAGCGUUGUUCGGAAUUACUGGGCGUAAAGCGCGCGUAGGCGGAUUGGUCAGUUAGGGGUGAAAUCCCAGGGCUUAACCCUGGAACUGCCUCUAAUACUGCCAGUCUUGAGUUCGGGAGAGGUGAGUGGGAUUCCUAGUGUAGAGGUGAAAUUCGUAGAUAUUAGGAAGAACACCAGUGGCGAAGGCGGCACACUGGCCCGAUACUGACGCUGAGGCGCGAAAGCGUGGGGAGCAAACAGGAUUAGAAACCCUAGUAGUCC
rnacentral:rRNA from 1 species